GCACCUCUCAGCAACCCUGUCGAUUCUGUUCAGUGUUCGAUGCGGGCAGUAGUUGGUGCUAUAGAGAUUCAAUGUAAAUCCAGAUGGACCUCCUCUUCCUAUGGAGCCUGUCUCUACAACUUUGAUACACAA
ensembl:snoRNA SNORA55 small nucleolar RNA, H/ACA box 55